AGCGCGUGCAGGUGGGUGUUUAAGUCACUUAUGAAAGCUCCCGGCUAAACUGGGAGAGGCUGAGUGAAACUGGAUGCCUAGAGUAGAGGAGAGGUAGACGGAAUUCCGCGUGUAGUGGUGAAAUGCGUAGAGAUGCGGAAGAACACCAGUGGCGAAGGCGGUCUACUGGCCUCUAACUGACACUCAGACGCGAAAGCAUGGGUAGCGAACGGGAUUAGAAACCCCGGUAGUCCAUGCCGUAAACGAUGCACACUAGACGUUCGCAGUCAUUGGCUGUGAGUGUCGAAGCCAACGCGAUAAGUGUGCCGCCUGGGGAGUACGGUCGCAAGGCUAAAACUCAAAGGAAUUGACGGGGGCCCGCACAAGCAGCGGAGCGUGUGGUUUAAUUCGAGGAUACGCGAAGAACCUUACCUGGGUUUGACAUGAUGGUGGUAGCUUACAGAGAUGUGAGUGACCUUCGGGAGCCAUGACAGGUGCUGCAUGGUUGUCGUCAGCUCGUGCCGUGAGGUGUUCGGUUAAGUCCGCAAACGAGCGCAACCCUCGGCGUUAGUUACAAGUGUCUAGCGCAACUGCCCGUGGCAAACGGGAGGAAGGUGGGGAUGACGUCAAAUCAGCAUGGCCUUUAUAUCCAGGGCUACACACACGCUACAAUGGCGCAUACAAUGGGUCGCGAAGCCGCGAGGUGGAGCCAAUCCUGAAAGUGCGUCUCAGUUCGGAUUGCAGGCUGCAACUCGCCUGCAUGAAGCUCGGAGUUGCUAGUAACCGUGUAUCAG
rnacentral:rRNA from 1 species